GAGAGACUACUGAUCGCUCUUCGUGCUGCUCCUAAAAUCAGCUCUAUUAGGAGUUAGAAAUACCAGCAUUCUUCCAAAGAAGCUUAUUUUUAUUAUAUUCCCAGCCUAAUACUGGAAACCAAAGAGCUUUAGAAUAGAACUGGCUGCAACUCUAGCAUUUCCCUUGAAAGAAAGCAGUGUCAGAGCAUCAAGAGAGAGAAGCUCCCGCUGGGAAGAUGUUGCCGAUCCUGCAGUCAUCCUGCUCUGCAGCCUCUCUUGUUUGGGCUCAUUA
rnacentral:lncRNA from 1 species